rnacentral:lncRNA from 1 species
UUACCGGAACCGGAAGCGAACCCCCAACUCCCCCUCCCCCCCCCACUCCCGGUUUCCCGCCGAGUACCGUUUUCGGGCGGUUGAUUUUCCCCCCGAUCCCCAUGGCGCACGUGCAACUUCCGGUCGGGCCCACUUCCGGCUCCUCCGACUUCCGGCCACACCCCUUCCGCUGUGCGCCACGAGGCUCUCCCCCUCACUUCCGCUCCUCGCCCCCUUCGUCCCGCCCUUCCUCUCUCCCUAUUGGUUUCCCGUCUCCAUCGCCGCGCGUGAUUGGCUCCCUUCCGGACACAGCCGCUUUUGAUUGGCCGAGCGGGGCAGAAAAGGCGCCGCGUGGAAGCGGGGCGGCCAUUUUGCGGCGGAGCGGCGAACGGAGCGGAGGGUCUGCCAAUGGACGGCAACGAAGACGAGAGGUAGUGCUGUGCCCCAUAGAGUGCUCUGCCCCAUAGCGUGCUGUGCCCCAUAGCGACGUAGCACUCUGCCCCAUAGCGACGUGUGGGGCUGCCCCAUAGAGUGCUGUGCCCCAUAGCGACGUGUGGGGCUGCCCCAUAGAGCGCUGU